UACAGAGGUGGCAAGCGUUGUUCGGAAUUACUGGGCGUAAAGGCGCGUAGGCGGCCUUCUAAGUCGGACGUGAAAUCCCCAGGCUUAACUUGGGAACUGCGUCCGAUACUGGAGGGCUUGAGUGCGGGAGAGGGAUGUGGAAUUCCCAGGUGUAGCGGUGAAAUGCGUAGAUAUCUGGAGGAACACCGGUGGCGAAGGCGGCAUCCUGGACCGACACUGACGCUGAUGCGCGAAAGCCAGGGGAGCAAACGGGG
rnacentral:rRNA from 1 species